GGACGCAUUGACCUAUGAUGAUGUACAUGUGAACUUCACUCGAGAAGAAUGGGCUUUGCUGGAUGCUUCACAGAAGAGUCUCUAUAAAGAUGUGAUGCAGGAGACCUAUAGGAACCUCACUGCUAUAGGUUACAAUUGGGAAGACCAUAGUUUUGAAGAACAUUGUCAAAGUUUCAGAAGAUAUGGAAGGUAAUUUUCAUGUGCAAGUUGGUAUGAAUAUGCCUCUGAAGGCAUGUUAGUAUGUCCUGGAACUUUUAAAGAAACGCCACAGUGUAAAAAAAAAGCCCUUCUUUAAGUGUAUUGAGUAUUAAAUUCUCACAAAUCCAUGU
rnacentral:lncRNA from 1 species